CUGUGAUUUAACAAGCUAGCAGGUUGCCCAUUCAUCUCCAGCCACUGCAAGCUAAUAGGCUCUUAUCUGGGUGCCCUGUUCCCUGAAAGUCCCUUGCUAUCUAAGCAUCAUGAUCGAUAAAUGGACGGCGUACAACUCAAACAGCCACGCUUUUGACUGCAGCUUUUCACCGGACAAUGAUGAGAUGCAACAGGACGACGUAUAAUCCGUGUCUUCCCCUCGCCUGCCCUUCUGUCAUCUACUGCUCACGUACCCGGGUUCAAACACAGCCAAACAGCCACUGCAUCCACAUUCACGAAACAGCGCAGAUGUGGUCAAAAGAAGAUUGACAAGCUCUAACAAAACCUGCAAGAGGGAUGCGAGAGGAGAGAGAUGGUUCGUCCCAUCCUGAUAUUAACUUUGGAUUGCUCUCAUCUCCUAAAGGGACUCCCAUUCACAUCCAAUAAGAGGAGCAGUGUUUUGUCAAGUGCUGUCGGGGCUGUCUGGAGCGCCAGCCUGGGACCAGGCUGUCCGUCCAGCAGGGUAAUGAGAUGGAGACCCGAGCAACCAGGGGGUUUUAGGAAAACAGGAGGGCUGAGAAUGUGUUAGCAAUGAGAGGCAAUUAUCACCCAAAAUGUGUCCUCGUUUUUAUCCCCAGAUUGAAAACUAAUACUUCGAACUAGAAUAUUGCUACUGCAACUAAAACAUUAUACAAAAUAUUUUCUAUAUGCAGAAGAGUAUUUCUCUAGGACAGCCACAAGCUGAUCUAAAAAGGUAGAAGUUGUGCAUGGUACACUGUUGGAAAAUGUAAAAAAGUAAAGAAAUACAUCAAUCAUUUUCUUCUGCAUAUUUUGAAUACAAACUAAGCUAUGCCUUACAAACUUCAAGAAACACUAAAGACACUUUCAUUGUCAUCUCUAAUAAUUUUCAUUAUUUGCUUGGGUACAGCUACAUUAAUACUGGAACUCCAAUAAAUCA